rnacentral:RNase_P_RNA from 1 species
CGAGCCGGCCGGACGGCCGCGUCGGGGCCUCGCGCCCCGCCGAGGAAGGUCCGGGCUCCACAGGGCAGGGUGGUCGGUAACGCCGACCCGGGGUGACCCGCGGGACAGUGCCACAGAAAACAUACCGCCAUCGGGCGACCGGUGGUAAGGGUGAAACGGUGAGGUAAGAGCUCACCAGCGCCCACGGUGACGUGGGCGGCUCGGUAAACCCCACCCGGAGCAAGGUCAAGAAGGGAAGCGCACGCUUCCCGCGCAGGCGCUCGAGGGCUGCCCGUCCGAUGCCUGCGGGUAGACCGCUAGAGGUCGUCGGCAACGGCGACCCGAGAUGGAUGGCCGUCACCGCCGCUGCCGCGGCGGUACAGAACCCGGCCUACAGGCCGACUCGUCCG